GUAGCAUUCCCUCCAUCCCAAAAAUUUUGUCUUACAUUUGUUUAGAUACGGAUGUAUCUAACACUAAAAUGUAACUAGAUACAUCCGUAUUUAGACAAAUUUAAGACAAGAAUUUUGGGACGGAGGGAGUAUAAA
rfam:Triticum aestivum genome assembly, contig: Triticum_aestivum_CS42_TGACv1_scaffold_329451_4BS